rnacentral:rRNA from 1 species
CACGUAGGGGCGCAAGCGUUGUCCCGGAAUUAUUGGGCGUAAAGAGCUCGUAGGCGGACUGUCACGUCUGCUGUGAAAAGCUGGGGCUUAACCCUGGCCUUGCAGUGGAUACGGGCAGACUAGAGGUAGGUAGGGGGAGAAUGGAAUUCCCCGGUGUAGCGGUGAAAUGCGCAGAUAUCAGGAAGAACACCCGUGGCGAAGGCGGCUCUCUGGGACGGUACUGACGCUGAGACGCGAAAGCGUGGGGAGCGAACAGG